UGAACGCUGGCGGUAUGCUUAACACAUGCAAGUCGAACGGAAACGAUACUAGCUUGCUAGUAGGCGUCGAGUGGCGGACGGGUGAGUAACGCGUAGGAAUCUACCUGAUAGUGGGGGAUAGCCCGAAGAAAUUCGGAUUAAUACCGCAUAAUCUAUUCGUAGUAAAGUGGGGGACUUUCGAGCCUCACGCUAUCAGAUGAGCCUGCGUAAGAUUAGCUAGUUGGUAGGGUAAAAGCCUACCAAGGCUACGAUCUUUAGCUGGUCUGAGAGGAUGAUCAGCCACAUCGGGACUGAGACACGGCCCGAACUCCUACGGGAGGCAGCAGUGGGGAAUAUUGGACAAUGGGGGCAACCCUGAUCCAGCAAUACCGCGUGUGUGAAGAAGGCCUGAGGGUUGUAAAGCACUUUCAAUUGUGAAGAAAAGCUAGUGGUUAAUAGCCAUUAGCCUUGACGUUAACUUUAGAAGAAGCACCGGCUAACUCCGUGCCAGCAGCCGCGGUAAUACGGAGGGUGCAAGCGUUAAUCGGAAUUACUGGGCGUAAAGCGUGCGUAGGCGGUUUAUUAAGUCAGAUGUGAAAGCCCCGGGCUUAACCUGGGAACUGCAUUUGAAACUGGUCAACUAGAGUAUGGUAGAGGAAAGUGGAAUUUCUGGUGUAGCGGUGAAAUGCGUAGAUAUCAGAAAGGAACAUCAAUGGCGAAGGCAACUUUCUGGACCAAUACUGACGCUGAGGUACGAAAGCGUGGGUAGCAAACAGGAUUAGAUACCCUGGUAGUCCACGCCGUAAACGAUGAUAACUAGCCGUUGGGGGGAUUUACCCCUUAGUGGCGAAGCUAACGCGUUAAGUUAUCCGCCUGGGGAGUACGGCCGCAAGGUUAAAACUCAAAGGAAUUGACGGGGACCCGCACAAGCGGUGGAGCAUGUGGUUUAAUUCGAUGCAACGCGAAGAACCUUACCUGGUCUUGACAUCCUGAGAACUUUCUAGAAAUAGAUUGGUGCCUUCGGGAACUCAGUGACAGGUGCUGCAUGGCUGUCGUCAGCUCGUGUCGUGAGAUGUUGGGUUAAGUCCCGUAACGAGCGCAACCCCUAUCCUUAUUUGCCAGCACAUCAUGGUGGGAACUAUAAGGAGACUGCCGGUGAUAAACCGGAGGAAGGCGGGGACGACGUCAAGUCAUCAUGGCCCUUACGACCAGGGCUACACACGUGCUACAAUGGGAAGGACAAAGAGCCGCGAAGCCGCGAGGUGUAGCUAAUCUCAGAAACCUUUUCGUAGUCCGGAUUGGAGUCUGCAACUCGACUCCAUGAAGUCGGAAUCGCUAGUAAUCGUAGAUCAGAAUGCUACGGUGAAUACGUUCCCGGGUCUUGUACACACCGCC
rnacentral:rRNA from 1 species